GUCGAACGACUUCCGUUAAUUGAUUAUGACGUACUUGUACUGAUUGAGAUUUUAACACGAAGUGAGUGGCGAACGGGUGAGUAACACGUGGGUAACCUGCCCAGAAGUAGGGGAUAACACCUGGAAACAGAUGCUAAUACCGUAUAACAGAGAAAACCGCAUGGUUUUCUUUUAAAAGAUGGCUCUGCUAUCACUUCUGGAUGGACCCGCGGCGUAUUAGCUAGUUGGUGAGGUAAAGGCUCACCAAGGCAGUGAUACGUAGCCGACCUGAGAGGGUAAUCGGCCACAUUGGGACUGAGACACGGCCCAGACUCCUACGGGAGGCAGCAGUAGGGAAUCUUCCACAAUGGACGCAAGUCUGAUGGAGCAACGCCGCGUGAGUGAAGAAGGGUUUCGGCUCGUAAAGCUCUGUUGUUAAAGAAGAACGUGGGUAAGAGUAACUGUUUACCCAGUGACGGUAUUUAACCAGAAAGCCACGGCUAACUACGUGCCAGCAGCCGCGGUAAUACGUAGGUGGCAAGCGUUAUCCGGAUUUAUUGGGCGUAAAGCGAGCGCAGGCGGUCUUUUAAGUCUAAUGUGAAAGCCUUCGGCUCAACCGAAGAAGUGCAUUGGAAACUGGGAGACUUGAGUGCAGAAGAGGACAGUGGAACUCCAUGUGUAGCGGUGAAAUGCGUA
rnacentral:rRNA from 1 species